rnacentral:rRNA from 1 species
AUGGCACGAAAAGGAAAUCCAAUUUCGGUAAGACUUGAUCUGAAUCGUAGUUCAGAUCCAAGUCGGUUCAAUGUCAAUAUUAGAUCUUAUUUUAGUUCGAUACGUCCACCUACGAAACUCGCCCUUGGCUUUCGUCUCGGUAGGUGUAUUAUUCUACAUUUUCCCAAAAGGACAUUCAUUCAUUUUUUCUUCCCGUCACCACGACUAAAACGAAAACAAGACAAGAAAUCAAGACCCGUACUACAGGAAAAGGGCUGGUGGCCGACAUUUGGGAAAGUCAGGCCGAUCGGGUGUCUUCAUUCAAGCGAGGGUACAGAGGAAGAACGAAACAAUGUGAGAGGCCAGGGGGCAGGGAAAAGAGUCGAGUCGAUCGACCGGGAGAAGCAAAACGAAAUCCGGAUUUGGCCGAAAAAGAUGCAUCAUUAUGGAUACCAUGACCGAUCACCAUCGAGAAAGAAGAAUUUUGAUAAAUCACUUCGGGUGAGCGGGGCCUUCAAGCGGCCUCAAUACGCCGGGGUUGUAAAUGACAUACCUUUCCUUUCCCGCUCUGACGGCCCGACGAGUCAUCUACUAAAAAGGACCCUCCCCACUGUUCGUCCCUCCUAGAAUUAUUCGGUCAUGCAAUAUUUUAAUACUAAGAAUAAAAUGCAUUUCGACCCCAUCCUAGUUCUCAAACAUUUCGUGGCGCCGGGUGUGGCUGAACCAUCUACGGGGGGAGCGAAGGGAGGAAGCUUAGAUAAGAGAAUACACUCUCGCAUCGCUUUUUUAGAAAGCUCUACCAGCGAGAAAAAGUGUUUGGCCCGAGCCAAAAAGAGGUUGAUCCACUUCAUUCACCAAGCGAAUGAUCUUCGCUUCGCGGGAACAACAAAAACCACCAUAUCGCUCUUUCCUUUCUUUGGUGCUACCUUCUUUUUUCCAAGGGAUGGGGUUGGGGUGUAUAAUAACCCUUUUUUUGAGUAUGCCCGGAAACAACUCCUAGCUCAAUUUAGGAUCAAAUGUAGGAACCUCAUGGGUAAGGAUAAGGUAAUGGAAUUGAUAGAGAAAUUCAUAGACCUAGGUAGGGGAAAAUUGAUAAAGGGAAUAGAGAUGAUGAUAGAGAUCAUACUGAGAAAGAGGAUAAUUCCGUACGGGUACAACUCUUAUUUGAACGAAGUGCAAAAAAUGCGAUCUUUUUUGUCUAAUAGAACAAACACUAAUACCUCAAUUGAGUCGGUAAAGAUCAAAUCUGUUUAUCAAAGUGCUUCUCUGAUUGCUCAAGACAUCUCUUUUCAACUGAGGAACAAUCCAAUCUCAUUUCGUUCCAUUUUUAGUAAAAUAGUGAAGGAUAUUCCAUUAAUAAUGCCAAAAGGGGUGGAGGGGAUACGUAUUUGUUGUUCUGGUCGAUUAGGGGGUGCGGAAAUAGCUAGAACUGAAUGCGGAAAGUAUGGAAAAACAUCUUGUAAUGUAUUUAACCAGAAAAUCGAUUAUGCUCAUGCGGAAGUAUCUACUCGUAACGGAAUUUCAGGUGUCAAAGUGCGGAUCUCAUAUAGUCAAAAUAAGAAGGGACGUGCUAUGUCCGAAACGUACGAAAUAUAG